rnacentral:lncRNA from 1 species
ACUCACCUUGGCGGCGUCUGACAGCUGCGCCAGCAGCAGCACGGAAAGCGCCAGGCACGACAGGCUGAGCAAGGAGCCAAGCCGAAGAAGGCCUCCCCACAGGGAACCAGGGUGGCAGGGCUAGAUGUCCUCUCACCAGACUGCCCAGUGAAGGUGCUGUCACUUUGAUGAAUUAUCAAGGCUUUGUAGUGGGUCUUCUACUGGACAAAGGACAAACUGGAGACUCCCUGGAUCAAAUGUGUUGGUGAGGCACUGAAUCUGAUUGCUGAAAGGUGAUUCAGCUGCAAGUUAGGCAUCAGUUUAGGGUUUUCUAGGCUUGGCAUCUAAAGGGAGUGCCUGCUGUAGCUGAAACCUCAUAGGCCUUCUCUUCCUUCCGAAUUGUUUUCAAGGCCUUGGGGGUACAGAGACUUAGAGAAAAUACAUAGUUGUGCCUCAGACUGAUGGGCCUCAUCUGUUUAAUGGAGAAACACCAAGCACACUCAGUCUGGGCGGAAUUUUAGAGCUCCAUAGUAUAACCACUAUCUAGCUACAUGUGGCAAUUGAGCAUUUGAAAUGUGGCUAGACUGAAUUGAAAUGUGCUGUAUAAAAUAUACACUUAAUUUCAAAGACAAUAUUUUUAAAAUGUAAAAUAUU